GGGGAAGGCCGUUUCCGCCCCUGCCCGGGGUGGGCAGCCCAGUCAGGGGGGCUCUUACCGGAAGCCUCUUUCUCCCCAGCAGCCACGACACGCACAGCCGGGCUCGGCGGCUGCGGCUCCGGGGACCGGGCAGCCGCGACGGAGGGUCCGGCGGGCUGUGGGCAGGAAGACGGCAGCCACUCUUUCCUCUAGGCCUCGCGUCCACUCUCUGAGACAUCUGGAGCGGAGUGCGGGUGCGGGCAGCCAGCUCCUCCACCCACUCCCUGGCUCUGGUCGCUCACCUCUCCUCCGGCGGGCCCUCCUACUAGUCAGUGCUGCUAGCUGCUGGCGAGUUCGUGACUGCGAAGAGGGCGCCGAUCGCAGCUAGCCACGCUUCCAGCCACCCGCUUGGCUACCGCAGGGGCAGGCGACGGGAGCGACCCUCUGCCUGCUCAGAGCUGGAUCUCCGGAAAUGGAGAACCGUGAGGUUCUCACCUGCGA
rnacentral:lncRNA from 1 species